UCUCAUAUCUUAAUUUCAUUUUUGGUAGUAUUAGAACGUUUGUUGACAUGUAUAACUACUUCAUUGUACUUAAGUUUGUUCGUUCUGCUUUCAAGAUUUUUUCAAAAUAUUGAAAAAGAUAAGUUUUCAGUCAAAUAAGUGAAAAAAAUUGAAUUGAAAACCCUCCGAUCCGACCAGUGGCCGUAUUGGAUAGUUUGAAUCCGAGGGCUCCACUGAUUUGGCAACAUGGCAUUCUCUCCCACUAUGCAACGUCUUUCGAAUACAACCGUAAAUUUUCCGAGUGGAAUGUUUCAAAUCUUUAAGGGGUUACUCUCAUGUGAUCACUUCGAAAAAUCGAUUUUUUUUAAUAUUUUGACAGUAAAACCUAUUGAAAACAUGCUGUGAAAAAUUCAGACUGAAAUUCAUAGUAUUUGAUAAGUUACAGCUCAUAGUCGCCGACGUGUCGUAAGCGACUGUCUACCAGGCUUUAAACUUUAAACGCAUUUUUCUCGAAUCAUCAUUUUCUGAAACUGUCAUGGUCCUACAAAAAAAAACACCAUGAACAGCCGCUAUCACCAUGACCAGUGAACUACUUUUUUUUGUUGGGGACUACUUUGAUUAAAAAAAAAUAUAUUAAAAAUGUAAAAACCGAAAAAAAAAAUUUUUUCGUACAUUUCAAAAUACAAAUAAAAAUAUAUUAAAAAAUUAAAAUGAUUGAAUUUUGUUGUCGCAUAAAAAAAAAUUCCUAAAAAGUGGUAAAAUGUAUACGUUCACAUGAGAGUACCCUCUUAAAUCUUAAAGUGAGAUAUUAUCUUCAAGAUAUGUAACUCAUGGACCGUUAAAAUAAUUCAGAACAAUCUGAGUCAAAAAAAUAUUUGGAUAUCAGUAAAAUUGAACAGUAAAAAAAAUUGAAGGUACGUUCCAGUCGUCUCUAACAUUUUCGAAGAGGAUUAAAUUUUGUCUAAUUGGAGAGACUUCGAGGCAAAUAUCACAUGAAAAGGAUCACAAUUUUCCGGAAACACCGAGGGCAUAAGAGUAAUGAACAUUUUGAAUCAAAUAGUCAACAUUCGACCUCAUCAGUCUCAAUAUUGUCGAUUCCCUGCAAUAAAAUGUCUUGUGAUGGGGGACGAUUCAAUCAAUCAAUUCAACAAACCUGUCUCGCCGGUGGGUGAUACUUAAAUAUAUCGGGAUUCAAGGGAUCACAUGAUGUAACUAGAAGUACCGACAAUAAUAAACAAAAUAUAACAAAUUGACACUGACACAUUCUCUUCUUUCUCAGCACACAAAGUGAUGUUAUAAGAAUGCCGGACUUAUUAUCUGUUAUUGUUUACCGGAUACCAGUGAAUUUUGCAAUUUUUUAAAUUUCAACUUCCGCACGUGGAAAGUCACAUCCGGUAGUGAACGAUGGGAAACAUAAAUGAGUUGACUUAAAUUUUCCUUACGCAUAACAUUAAAUUUGCGAAUAACUUAGUCUACGGUUUCAGUUGGACAAUGAAUAACCGAGUGAUCAUCCUCACCGCAUCUGCAGUUAUAAUCUUGUUGUUUCCAAAUCAGGUUCCAGCAGCACCGGGUGGGAAUUUUCUGUCGUAUUCGGGAUCAGCCGACACUCGGUUCUACAGUCCUCUCACGUUAUUAGCCUCCAGAGCUGUGAGAGCCGUAAUUAACAUAGCAUCGCUCGUCUAUCAACUCCUACCAAUUCCUGAUUCUGUGGAACUAAGACCACUGGGACUUACCAUCAGCAAAGGACCUGAUUGCCGUGACCAACAGCGCAACCGUUAUUCAUUUUUUUCGACGAUUAAUUGAAGUUAUAAAAAAAGCUGUAUAAACUUACAAGUUUUGUGGCAAAUAAUAAAAAGAGUUCCAAACAAACAGGCGACCGACGCUAUUCGACAGAAGUGAUGUGACUGAUACUUUACGUCUUAUUAUUUUUUUUCCUUCAUUUCUACUAAUUAUUUUUUUUUUCCUUCAUUUCUACCAAUUCGAUGUAAAAAAUGAAAAGGUAGAUAUUCGCAAUGUGAGUUAGUGUGGUACUGACAUUCACCAGGGGCUUUGGAAAGAUAUAUUUAACCCAGUAGUAACAUGAGCUUCAACAAAACAAUAAAUAUUGCAACAACCAUCCGACGGAUUGCAUCGAUCCGACGUCUGAUGUUUUAAUACCAUAAAAAUCAUGAUCAUAACAAAUUUUUACUCGCUAUCCCAAUUUUUCAUCAAAUUAUUGAGUCUCGAAUAUUGAAAAUAUUUAAGAAAUGGAAAAAUGGUGACAUCUCGCAAUUUUUAGAGACGAUACUUAUUUUCAUAAUUUUGUAUGAUAUCCACUGGGACGAGUAUGUUGAAAAAAAUUGAAAUCCUUGCAGUAGGUUUUGAGAUAUUUGACACAAAAGUUGCUAAUUGCAUGAACUACUUGACUAAUUGAGCUGAAAUGAUGCAACAAAGUAGAGGUUAAUGGCGUCUAACAAAACGUGAAAAUUCAAUGUUUUAACCACAAAUGUGACGGUAUUUUUUUACAAUAUUCUCAAAAUGAAUCUUCAAAAUUGCGAAUCUUUUAGCACAUACACACAGACGUGGUACAAAAAACAUAGUUUUUAUCGCGUUUUUAAUAUAACAUUCUAGACUUGCAACUGAAAUUAGAGAAUCCAAAAAUCCGUCAAAUCUAAGACUUCCAUUCGAAAGCAAAAAGGAUAUUUUCAUAGAAACCAAUUUGUACCAGAAUAAAAAUACAAUAACUACAAUUAUUGAAAAUUAUUAUUUAAUUCUUUAUAUGCUUCUUACAACAAGAACAGUACAUUUUUUACAGCAAACAGUCGAAGAAUUUUUUAAUUUGGGUCCAUCAUCUGCAAUAUUGAGUGUUACAUAUUCGAAGAUAUUACACCUUUGGUGCCUCGGUGACAGCCAAUUGUCGCAGUUGAGUGUCCAGAUUGUUAGUGGUCUUGACAGCGAUCUCCACCGCCUGUUUGGUGAACUUGGCAAGAUCUUCCUGGACCGUCUCCGAGCUUUUGCUGAUCUCCUUAGCAGCUUUGCUGGAUUCCUCAAUGAGAAGAUUGAGCCCUUGAGUCAAUUUGGUUCCCAGUUGACUCGCCUGCUCCUGGGCCUGGGGUAUUUGGGCAUUGAUGUCAUUGACAACACCACUGAAUUUGGUCUUCACUCCAUCCCAAGCUUUCUGGAUUUCCGGACUCUUAGCUUUAACCUAAUGAAUCAGAACAUGUCGUUGUCAGAUAUUAUUAGACACUUUUUCUCCCAGAAUUGUCCACAAAAUGUCAACUUACAUCUUCGGAGAUCUUGUUCAGCAAAUCCUGGAGAUUAUUGGCAAAUGAGCUGCUCUGAGUCUUGAGUGACUCCAGGGUACUUUGGCUAUCCUUCUCCAAACGUUUGGAAAGCUCCUGUCCAAGAUUGGUGAUGCCAGCCUUAGCCUGUUCAAUUAGAUCUGACAAUGGAGCUGGUUGAGCUGCUGCUGGAGGCUGACCAGCUGGAGAUCCAAAUGCAACGGCCGCACAGCCAAUGACAAUAAUUGCACAAGCACCCUUCAUCAUUUAAUAUUAAAAUUAACUGUCAAAACCUUUUUUGUCAGAGUAACACAAACGACUGAUGUAAUCUUUAUAUUGUGGUCUGUCUUUUAUAGUAUUUGUUAUCUGUAAAACUGGGGGCAAAGUGCUGGGUAUCAGCAGUUCGUUCAUGGAACACAUUCUUUCAUAUUCUCUCCAAACACAGUGUAAGACCUUGUCUCCUGAGGUUUUCCCAUGUUUUUAAAGAACUUUCUUAUAUUCACACAUUUGCAAAGAUGAUAACCCUGACUAGAUUCCAACGGAUAGUUGAAUAUUCAUUGGCUCCCGUCCUUCCUGGGUAAAAACGAUUACCAUAUUUUACCUCGAAAACUUAUCUCUACGAAUUUUCGACAGAAAUUUAUUUCAUUUUCAUUGUUCAUUGUUGAAUUUUUUCACAAUCUCACAAUUUAAUAUCUCUUAGUCGAUAACAUGUGUUCGAAACAUGGAAUAAUAAAAUUAAAAAAAAAAAUGUUUUUUCCUCGUAAAAUAAUAAUAUUUUAUCUGAAAUUUCUGACUGAGUCGUCGCCUUAAACAGAGAGUUCAUUAAAGGUCGGUAUUACAUCAGUUCGAUUUGUUUCUGAGACGAAUAAAGCUGGCAUUGUACUAUGGAAUUUACUAGAUUAUAUUUAUAUUUUUAUAUUUUUAAUUUACUAGAUUAUAUUUUCCAUUAAUCUUUCCGCCAUGCUUUGUUGUCGUUAUAAAUAAAAAAAUAAUGAAGGCGGUCUCAUGUUUAAUGAGUCAAGAUUUUUCACGUGAUUGGGUCAACAUCUUCGAGCUCCCAAUCAGAAAUGACAAAUAAAAACUAUUUCUUUGACAAACCCCCUGAAUCCCAGACCGAAUGACACUGAUAAGGAAUUGUAUGGUGAUAGGAAAAAUAAUGUUAACAACUCAUUAACCUUUCCAUCGUUUGUGAUUUUAUUUAAUUACCAUAUCUCCUCUCUUCUAUAUCAUAUAUUAACAUCGUGAGACAAAAACUCCAUUCAUUAUUUGUUGGUUCCCUUACAUAAAAUUAUCAGAUACAGAAAAUCUUAGAUAAUUAAUUUACAGCGAUGAGAAGAGAGCGUAGAUGUCUCAUUUAUGAGCUGGGAGGGCUCCCGGUUUUGGGGAUGAUUUUAUCAGCUCCCUGUUUUAAUUCCUCCAGCAACUCCCGGCCCUUCUGGACCAAAUCCUGUAUCUUGGGAUCCUUGGAGAUAUUCUCGAAGGUCU